GCUGGGCUAUUAUUAAGGGAAUAAAGUAUUAAAGUUCAAAACAAAACCACAACAGUGCUGGGCUGAUCUAAAAAUAAAACAUGGGAUACUUAAAGGGUUUGAGAAGCCCGCAAAAACAAAAAUAGAAAAUGAAGCCUAAAUGAAUGCAGAAAUAGAAUCGUCAUUUCCCAGUCAAAUCAAACAGUCUGGCCUCCAUUAUUUUCCAACUUUUCAUUUCAUAAACGCUAGGCUUUUCAGAUGAUAGCAAUUUCAAAGAAAUCUUAUGCUUUAGCUAUCUUUUUCCGUUUCAUUUCCUCUUCAUCAACUUCCUUCAAUCAGAAUUUUGUGGCCAUCUCCCUCUUAGAUCCGGUGUUCUUCUCUCGUCUCUCCCACCAGGUAUCUUUCUUCCCCUUUUCUUAAUGCCUCUUUCGUUAGGUAUGUGCUUCAACGUUCUCUGUUCUUUGGAUGAAUCGAAAAACAUUUUUUUUGGAAUCGGGUUUUGUUGCUCUGAAUAUCAUCAAUAAUUGCUCCUAGAAUCGAUUUAUCUCUAGCUUUUGUUUUGCAUUUGUUGAUUAUUGUUUUCGAAUCCCCCAUCAUCGUGACUGAGUUUAAGCCCAUGCUUAUGCCUAAUUUGGUUGCCUCUAAACAUGCUAAUGCUUCUGCUACAAAUGGAGAGGAAACGUUGGAGUGAAGAGUAGACUUUGAGACUGUGAUUUCCCCAUUCUGACCUCGGGCUACCAUUCCUGACGCUGAUCUAGAGUUGUUGAUAUCAAAAGCUGCAUCAAACUGUAUAGACUCCCGUAGCUCCACCUCUCUUUGUUCGGAUCUAACGGCCGUAGAGGUAAGUUUUCUUUCUCGCACUCCUUCAAGCUCUAUUAGAUAACUCUGUAUUUUAAAAGCUAGAUCCCUUCCUGAUGUAUACUUCCUCUUGUGGAUCAUUUGAUUUCUCGAGCUCCAGAUAACCCAUAAGGCACAAAAAAAUACUCAGAUCUACUCCUUUGUACCUCUGCUGAAUACCCAGGUGAGCCAUGCCCAUACACUCUGAUCUGCAUGUUCUGUUACCCAUGACAUAUUGAGACUGAUCUAUGCAUCCGUGCUUAUAGGACAUUGCCUAAACACAUGGAAGCUAUCUUCUUCUGCAGAACAGUAUCGUGGACACCUUACAUUAGUGGUCACUCUCUUAUAUCUGAUAUUAACUAGUGAAGGGAUGUAGUUCCAGGAAAUUCGCCAUAUGAGAAUUAGGAUUUUUGUUAGUAAUUGUAAAUUCCAUAAUUUUCUGUAGAAAUCUUUAGUUUCGACCUGUAUUAAAUAGUUAUAAUGAUCCAAGCUAGCUUCUUAUAAUAGUUUGUAGGCACUUCUAACUGUAAAUUCUCCGGAGAGUUCCCCUUUCCACACUUUCAUGUCUUCACAAUCCGUUUUCGCAAGAGGAAUUUGCAGUAUUUUUUGAGAAAUUUCCUUUUGAAAGGUAGUCGAAAUUAACUUUCUUCCACUUCUUGUUUAUGUUAUCAAUAAGAUCAGAAACCACAGCUAACUAACCAUUGUCUCUUUUAUUUUGCCACAUCUCAAGUUCCAUCCCUAGUAUCCAACGAUCAUCCCAUAUAGAUAUUGCGUCUCCUCUCUCGACUCUCCAGAUGAGACCAUCAAGAAGGAGUCCUUUCACUGCCCAAAUACUUCUCUAGGUAAGAGAUGGUAAGUUUCCCAACUGUGAAUUUAGGAAACUGGAUCUUGGGUAAUAUUUAGCUUUAAGUACUCUGGCUAAAAGUGAAUUUGGGUUAUUAAACAAUCGCCAACCCUGCUUGGCUAACAAUGCGAUAUUAAACUUAUUAAAAUUACGAAAACCCAACCCGUCGUUUUCCUUUAAAUAGCAAAGGUUUUUCCAAGAGCACCAAUAGAUUCCCUUUUUUCCUUGAUUCUUUUGCCACCAAUAUCUCGCAACAAUACUCUCCAUUUCUUCACAUAGUGACUUCGGAAGUAGAAAACAAACCAUUGAGUAUGUCGGUAUGGCUUGUAGCACUGCCUUUAUGAAUAUCUCUUUUCCACCUUGCGAUAAAAAACGAGUACUCCAAUUUUCUAUCUGUUGUUCCAAUCUGUCUUUUAAGGCUUGAAAAGAUUGCUUCUUUUUUCGACCUACCAUGUUUGGCAAGCCCAAGUAUCUUUCUGGCUCAUUUGAACUUCGAACUCCCAAUAAAUUGACGAUUAGAUGUCUUUCCUCUUCAAUUAUAUUUUUGCUAAAGAAGACGGUCGAUUUGGAAAAAUUCACACAUUGACCCGAACAUCUUUUAUACCCGCUAAGAAUUUCCUUGAGUACAAAGGCUCCUUUCCUCGAUGCUUCUCCAAAUAAAAUGCAAUCAUCCGUAAAUAGUAAAUGUGUUACCUGUGGACCACUUCUGGUUGCCUUGACUCCCUUUAGAAGACCUUCUCUAGCGUUUAUUCUCAUUAGACUAGAUAGUCCUUCUCCACAUAUUAAGAAGAGAAACGGGCUCAAAGGAUCGCCUUGUCGAAGCCCUCUUGUUGGACGGAAAGUUCUUCCAACACUUACAUUGAGCACUACUUGAUAAGAAACUGUAGACAUGAAAUUCAUGAUAGAGGUGACCCAUUUUUGAUCAAAUCCCAUCCGCAGCAUUGUUUCCUUAAUAAAUCUCCAUUCAACUCUGUCAUAAGCUUUGCUUAUGUCAAGCUUAACCGCCAUGUAUCCCUUUUUCCCCAUUCUUUUUUGUUUAAGUGUGUGCAAUAACUCAUAAGCGAGCAAAAUAUUAUCUGAGAUUAAUUUACCUGGUACGAAGGCACUUUGCGCACUGUCAAUGCAUUUGUCUAUGACACCUCUAAAUCUGUUUGCUAUUGCUUUAGUCAUGAUUUUAUAAAUAACAUUGCAUAAGCUAAUAGGCCUAAAAUGGGUCAUAUUAGAGGGGUUUUUGAUUUUUGGGAUAAGAACAAUAUAAGUUGAGUUAAUUUGACUGACCUCCAUUUCUCCAUUGAUGAGGUGUAGGCAAAAAGCAGCCACCUCAUCUCCUAUAAAGUGCUAACAUUUCUGGUAAAAAAGAGCAGGGAAUCCAUCUUUGCGAGGUGCCUUCGUGGGAUGCAUUUCAAAUAAGGCCUCUCUCACUUCUUCUUUUGUAUAAUUCGCUAUAAGUUUCCUGUUAUCGUCCUCUGAGAUACACCGAUCAAUUCCCGAGAGUAGACGUUCAUAAUUCAUUUGAUUUUCUAAAGAGAACAGAUUUUGAAAAUAGAAUUGUACAAUACCUUUCAUCUCCUGAAUAUCAUUCGUUUCCUGCCCGCUGCUGUUUUGUAGCUUGCUUAUCAAAUUCUUCUUUCUUCUUUGUGUUACUUGACUGUGAAAAAAGGCUGUAUUCCUGUUUCCAAGUUUUAGCCAAUUUAGUCUAGCUCGGUGUUCCCAAUAAGUUUAAUCUUUUUCAAUUUCGAAGUUAAGCUGGAUCUUUGUGUCAAUCAUCUCAGCUAGAUUAGAAUUAUCCCUUUCAGCUUCAAUCAAUGUUGAUAGUUUGGCUGUGAGAAAUUCUUUUCUCCCCUGUUUAUUUCUUUGCACCUGUUUCGCCCAGUUUACAAACCCUUUCUUAAAAGUUUCCAUUUUCUUCAGAAAUUCUCCAGACACCAUCCCCCAUAAAUGUUUAGCUUCAUCGAAAAAUGAGUCUUCCACGAUCCAUGAGGCUUCAAAUUUGAAUUGAUUUGCUUUUUCCCAUUGGUCUUCCUUAUUUGUGUUGACGAAAAUAGGACAAUAAUCAAAAAAAGAGUGUACAAGUGUUCAACUCAUACCGCAGGAAACAUGGAAAUCCAAUUCUUAUUAGCGACACCCCUAUCCAGACGCUCUUGAAUGUUCGUUUCUGGUAAGUUUCCUCUCUCCUAAGUGAACCAUCUACCAGAGUAUCCCACAUUGGAUAGUUGGCAAAAAUCUAAAGCUUCUCGGAACAACUCCAUUCUUCUUUCAUCUCUUGGCAAGCCUCUCUUUUUUUUUUCGAAUUCAUACAUUAUUUCAUUAAAAUCUCCACAGACAAGCCAAGGGGUGUAUUCCUUUUUAUGGAGAUUUUUCAAAACAGUCCAUAAAGCUUCUCUAUCUUGCGCAUAUGGAGUUCUAUAAAAGCCAGUAAAGCGCCAUUUGACAUCUCUUUCAUCAUCAUCCACCACCAUGUCAAUGUGUCUUUUAGAGAAAUUCUAAAGCGUAACAUUGAUAUUAUUUUGCCAUGCUAGACACAAACCUUCUCUAGAGCCCUUCGAAUCAACAUCAAUUCCAUUCCCAAAUCCACAUCUUCGUCUAAUUCUUUCCAUUCGGUUUCUGCAAAGCUUAGUAUCCAUAAAGAAGACAAUUUGGGGAUUAUAAGUCCUCAGCGUAUGCUGAAGCCUUCGAACUAUCCGUAGACUCCCCAAUCCACGGACAUUCUAACUCAGUAUUUUUAUUGCUUCCGGUCGGCUUGCCAUUUGGUAGCCGCCGAUGAUAAAUGAUUAGGAUCCACCAUUCUCCAAUUUGCCAAUAUGUUUCUCAUUUCUUCUCUCCCUGUUAUAUCUUCAUUUUCCCCUCUAGGCCUUUUCGUCCCCUUUUUCCCUACUAGAGCUACAUCUUCUAGAUCCCUGAUCCAUUACAUUAGGGGUUAAAUUCUCCUUUCCUCGUACCGCGUAUAAUGAACCUCCCUCCAAAUUAAAGCCAAGAACUGGAUCAACAGAUUUCCCAUAUUUUAUUUUUCACCCCGGGUGCUUCUGGCCCAUUUUGAGACCUCCAAAUUCUGCAUCAGUUCCUCUGUUAUCGCCAUCUCCUUCCUCCCUUAGCUAGAUAUUGUUUAUUGAUAAUGACUUCCGUGAUUGUGCUCGGAUAGAUAAGUCCUAGCCCAUUUCUGCAAUUUCCAUUCCAAGGUUCAUUUUUGCCUCGCAAAAAAAGUCAUUAUGCUCCAGUCUUCCACAAUAGAAACAGAACAAAGAUAAACGUUCAUAUUUAAAGGUGACAUAUGAACAUUUUCCACCAAAUGAUAUUUUCUUCCUCCUUUUCAAAGGACGCCUUAUGUCGAUUUGAACUCUAAUUCUCAUAAAGUUCUUGUUUUCUUUUCCCAAAUAUGAUACAUCAUGUUCUAUGAAAUUCCCCAAGAAAUUACCUAACUGGGCAGCCAGGAUUUCAGAAAAAAGGCCAAUAGGGACAUCAUGAACCUAAACCCAAAAAGGUAUCAGAACUAGAGGGAGUUGUAGUGGAUCCUCCCCUAAUUCCAAUUUGUAAAGCACCAGCAGAUGGUUAUUAAUGGUCCAAGGCGAACAUUUCAAAACCCUGUUCAUAUCCAUGACAUGAAAGAACUGAAACAAAUACCUUUUUUCUCCCAGAUCACAGAUUCGUACUCCCUUAACCGGAUGCUACAGAUUCGCCAUUGUACUUUUCAUUGCUGGGAAGUGGAUCGUGCUUGCUGUGAGAAAACAUCCUACUAGUUGAGUGGUCUCACCCCUAUUUUCCGUGCUUGGAUCUGUUGGGAUGUGAAUAAUUUCCUCAUCUUCAUCAUUAAUCGACAAUUGGGCUAACUCAUUCUCCAUACUUUGCAGGUAAAAGUUUUUUCAGCUUUUGUGGUUUCACAAUUCCUGUUGCAAGAGAAGGACUUACACAGGCCACAGAUAACAAAGGGGAAAGUAUUAAGGAAAAAACAAAUAAUGAAAAAACUUAAAAACUCUUGCUAGUGGCAGCAGACAAAGGUGUGCUAGGGUAGCAGACUUUUUUUACUUGUGAAUUUGAUAAUGUUUUAUAUUUCAUAUAAUGUUUUUAUAAUUUUUUUAACUUAUAUAACUAAUAUAUAAUAUGUUUUGAAAAUUUUAAAUUUAAUAAUUUUUAUAAUUUUUUAUUUAUUGAAUUUAUAUUUUUUAAAAUGGAUGCCACAUUAUUAAUCGUCAUGUAUAAAGGAAUACCACAUAAUGCAUUCUCAUUGGUUGGGUGUGUCACCUAUCAUUUUUAACACCAUUAACCUCUUUGAACUAAGAUUGUGUUUAGCAAUGCUUAAAAAAAACACUUUUGGCUUAAAAAGUACUUUUGGAAGAAAAUUUAUGUUAAACAAGUAACUUUUGGCCCAAAGGAGUGGCUUUUCAAAAACAUUUUUACUCAAAAGCUAAAUUUUUUAGCUUUUCUUGAGCCAAAAGCACUUCUUGAAACAUUAUUACUUUUUCAUCUCUCUAUUUUUCUUCCCUUAUUUUUCAUUCACUUUAAAUUACAAAUGCUAAUGUAAAUGUUUUAAUGUUUAUAUUUGGUAUAUAAAUAUUAUCCAUUUUUGAAACUUUAAUCUAAAUAUAUGUAAUAUUUUAAUUUGUUAGGUUUUUGUUUUCUAUGUUAUGUUAAUAUUUAAUAUGGGUUAUAUAUUCAAAUUACAUUUUAAAAUAAAAUCAUUAAUUAAAAAAAGUAUUUCUCGAAAUAAUACAAAUGUGUUAAUAUCUUUUUCUUUUUCUUUUUAUUGAAAGAUUAGGCUUUAUUGAUAAAAGAAAUAAAAAAAACAAUGGAAAAGAACUGGCCCAAUCUCAUCGAGCCCAAAACUAAAGAAGCAACAAAAAUCCAAAAACAAACAAAAAGAAACAAACUAGCCUAGCCAAAUAGGAAAAGACCAUCACAAUCCCCUUAAAUGUCGUUUCAAUAACUGAUGAUUUCCUAACCCCCAUUUUGCAGAUAUUUAGAAGUUACAAAAGAAGUUUUCAUCCUUUCUCCUUUCUCCAAGGUUGGAAAAAUUUGCUUCCGAUCCUCCUCAGUCCGACUCUCGCACCCAUUCAACUUCCAUUGUUCUCUUCGCAUAACUCGGGACAACAUCUUCCAAGUAAAAGCUCUCACCAGAUCUCAAACUCUCAUUUGCUAAAAGAUGGGCUAACUAAUUUUCAAAAUGAUUUGCAUGUUUAAGCCUAAUAAAAGUAAAACUGUUUAGCUUCUGUUUGAUGUUUCGGAUGUAGGUGUUUAUUUCAGAUCUAUCAUGUAUAUCGUUGUUGCAUUUCUUGAUGAUUGUAAAUGAGUCUCCCUUUAUAACUGCUUCUGUUAACCCUAUUUCUAAACUCGUUUGUAUUGCCCAUGAACACGCGAGCGCCUCGGUUGCAAAAAUUGUUCCAACAUCGACAUGUAGGAUCGAUCGAGAUACUAAAACUUUGCCUAGAGCAUUCUUAACUACAAUUCCCGAUCUUGAUCUAGAAUGAACCUAAUCAAAGGCCGUGUCAAAAUUUAUUUUAAUUCUCGCUCUUACAGGCGAUUCCCAUUUUCUUUCCUCACCUUUCCUCAUUGAUCUCCAAUUUUCUUAUGUAGGAAGAAAUAGAAUUGGCAAUCUCCCUACUUGUUUCACUGACUUUUUCGUGCACUUCUUGUUUCUCUCUGUCCACAGGCUUCAUAGUGCAACACAAAAUUCCUAGACAUUUUGGUAACCGAACAUUCUUUAACGACCCAGGUAAGCCAAUCAAAAAAUUCCUAGACAAAAUUUGACACCAUUACAUGAAACCCCAAUAACAUCCAGACUUCAAAUGUAACAGGGCAACCACGAAAGAUGUGGUCUAAAUUUUCAGUAGCAUUAUAACAUCUCGGGCAUAUCAUAUUUGACACGAUUCGUUUAUAGUGCAAAUUUCUAAAAGUAAGAAUAUAAUCUUUCAAGAUUCACCAUAUUGUAAUUUUAAUUUUAGUUGGAAGCUUUAAGCUCUAUAGUUUCCUAUAGAAAUCUCUAGCAUUGGUCUUAUCUCAUUUAAAUUAGGGGUAGAAAUACCAGUUUGUAAUAGUUUAUAGGCUCUUCGCACAGAAAAGUCCCCCGAAGGUUCACCUCUCCACAUCAUCACAUCUGCAUAAGGAGUACAAGCCAAAGGGAUUCUCAGUAUUCUACCUAUGUCAACACUCGAAAAG
rnacentral:lncRNA from 1 species